AAUAAAUAAAUUAUUAAUUUUUAUUGUUCAUUUAUUUAAUUAAAAUAAUUUUAUUUAUUUUUAUUUUUAGUAUAUUUUAUAGAAAAAAUAUUUUAAGUUAUAGUUUAUUAGUAUUGUAAAAGAAUUUUGUAAUAAAUAUUUAUUUUUUAAAAGUAGAGUUUAUUUUUUGUACCUUGUGUAUCAGGGUUUAUUAAUUAAUUAUUAUAAAUUUUAAUUUUCCCGAUUUUAAGAGAGAGAAUAAAUAAUUUUUUUUAUUGUAAAAAAAAUAUUUAAAAUUGUUUAUUAGUAAUGAAAAGUUAUUCGUUCUUAAAUAUAUCUGGUUUAUUUAGAAAUAAAUUUAAUUUAGUUUAUUUAAUUGUAUUAAUUUAUUUUUUUAAAUUAAUAUAUUUUUUAAAUAGUAAUUAAAGGGAUAAGCUUUUAAUUAAAUUUCUAUAAUUAAUAAAUUUAAGUAAAAAUAUAUAGGUUUAGAAAUAUUUUUUGUUAAUAAUUUGUUAUAAUUAAUUUUUUUUAGUAUAUUAUUUAAGGUUAAUUUAGGUUUUUAUAAAUAAAUUUUAUUUAAUAUUAAAAUAUAAGAUAUAAUGAUAAAAUUAGUAUUUAUUAUAAAUGUUUAAUUAAUAAUUUUAGUUAGAUUAUUUUAAGGAAUUCGGCAAUUUUUUUAUUCGCCUGUUUAACAAAAACAUGUCCUUUAGAUUAAUUAUUUAAGGUCUAGCCUGCCCACUGAAAAAUUUUAAAUGGCCGCAGUAAAUUGACUGUGCAAAGGUAGCAUAAUCAUUAGUUUUUUAAUUAAAAGCUUGUAUGAAUGGUUUGACGAAAUAAAAUCUGUCUCUAAAUAAUAUAAAGAAUUUAAUUUUUAAGUUAAAAAGCUUAAAUUUAAAUAAAAGACGAGAAGACCCUAUAGAUUUUUAUAUUAAAUUUAAUAAUUAUAUUUAAGAUUUUUUAAAUAAUUAUUAGUUUUAUUAUUAUAUUGGGGUAAUAGAAAGAUUUAAAAAAUUCUUUUUUUUUGUAUACAUUAAUUAUUGUUUAAAUGAUCCUUUAUUAAAGAUAAUAAGAUUAAGUUACCUUAGGGAUAACAGCGUAAUUUUUUUAAAGAGUUCAUAUCGAUAAAAAAGUUUGCGACCUCGAUGUUGGAUUAAAAAUUAUUUUAGGUGUAGAAGCUUAAAGAUUUGGUCUGUUCGACCAUUAGAUUUUUACAUGAUCUGAGUUCAGACCGGUGUAAGCCAGGUCGGUUUCUAUCUUUAUUAAUUUAUUAUAUUUUAGUACGAAAGGACCAAAUAUAAAAUAUAUUAAUAUUUAAUUUUUGAAUAUUAUU
rnacentral:rRNA from 1 species